UCUAAGCUAUUCACGACUGAUGUUUUAAGAUGAACUAACUUUGUCGACUGUCGACCACCAAUUUUUUUAACACUGUAUAGACGCAUACGCUCAUACAUACAUACAUACUAUAUAGACUCACCUAUAUGAACACAGCAUACACUAUUUUUAUGAACACCUCUAAAAGACUGAGCCGACACAUCAUCUUGAGAUUGAUGAGGUCAUCAUAGACGCCUUAGUAGUCAACAGGAACAUCUCCUCCCACUGCACAUCGCCGAAGACAUGAAAUAAAUCCAGAGAAAUGCUUGCUAUAGCUGGCCAAUUGGCCCUUUUUUUGCGCCGGCCCGUGAGCACGCCGGCACGGCCCGCCUUGGGCCAGGCAUGACACGGGCUAAAUGGGCCGGGCCCGGCACGCGACACGCCCUGGGCCGUGCCUGGGCCUAGAGGCUGGGCACGCAAGCCGGCACGACACGGCCCGGUUACGUUUUUUUUACUUUUUUAUAUAUCUAUAUAUGGCCCAACAUGUAAAAAUAGGCUAAAAAACACUCAGUGCGUCAAAUAACAGGCUGAAAAUAUACGGCCCACCAUGCUAAACGGGCCAACGUGCCGGCCCGUUUACUAACUGAGCCGUGCCUGGGCCUGGAGCGCAGCAUGUGGGCCGGCACGGCACCGCCCGUAUAGUAAUUGUGCCCUGGCGGGCCGGCCCGUUUGGCCAGGUAUGCAUGUCGAGAAAACUGGGACCACUAUUUAAACAGACAUGUAUGUAUCUGACCGUCGAUCGACCAUCUUCUUCUCGAAAAAAAGAAAAAGAAAAAACUCUUGGAUCGACCAAACCCUAGAGAAAGAGGGGCUCCUCUUCCAUGGCCGGCGGCGAUUCUUCUCCCGUGGCGGCUGCGGCUGCGGCGAGGAAGUGAGAGUGGGACCAAGAAGAGUAUCGGUGCGAGCCGGCGGAGUAUUCCGUGGAUCCGCGAUACAGCGAGUACGACCCCAAGCAGGGUGUCACACCCCAUCCUGGAUCGGGAUCGGAGAUUAGGGAAUUUCGUAGCAGGGGUUGCGAGAGACAAGAGUAUAUGCGAGAGUGGGGUGCUGGCUUAUAUAGCUCAGCCGGAACAGCGAAAAGAAACAGGAACGGCAAAGGGAAAAGCUACAACACGGAAGUCACUGUUACAGGCGAGCGAAGCGAGCCAUUAGAUUGCCCCCCCAAGGUGCAUCCUAACCGCACAUUAACUGAAUAUGGCUCUGCAGUGAUCCGAAACUGACACAGGGCUGUUUCAUAUGCGUCCGCUACUUCUUCGACGGCAAACUCGACCUGGACAGGAGUCGCCUGCUGGUCCCAUGCGACAUGCUGGUAAAACCUUCAAAGAGGGGUUCCGGCUCAAAAACUCGGUCAAUGUUGUCUCCAUCAAGAUUGUUUCCUCCGACUAUGGCUACCCACUCAAUGUCUACGGUACCAUCAUAGCCAGGGACAGUCUGGAUUGAAAAUGUGUCUAUAUAUUCCGGCGCGAGUAGGAUGAUUGCCAGCUCAUCGGCUCAAAGGUUUUACUGCCAUUUGCCUCAUAGCUACAGACACAUACAACAUAUAAAUGUGUAUUUCUUGUACUGGUAUUUCCUCAUAUUAGUCCUCUGAUUUACAAAAUAAAAUAAUUGGUGAUUUCCUGACGGAAAAAUUUCUGAAUGUUGUAUGUCAGUAAUUCUGAUUUAGGUUUUGUAUGUUAUACUUGAAUAACGGCUCUGGUUUUGUAUCUGUUCCAUAUGAUGUUUGAUUUUAAUGAUACUUGUCUUGUAGGGUAUAGUGUUAGGAGCCAGGGGUUUAUCACUUGCGUGGCUCAGUUUAUGGUUCUACGGCAAUCUGCACAAUAAGAAAAGGAGCACAAAAAAUACAUCAGCACAGAUGUAGCAUAAUUUUUCUGAGUGUAAUUACCUUGUUUCAUCAUUCAAAACAUAGCUAAAAAUGAACCCCAAAGCAAGGGUAAUUCAAUCAAUCCCAGAAACAAGCAUCUUGAAUUUAUCUAUUCAAA